rnacentral:rRNA from 1 species
AGGAAUAUUGGUCAAUGGGCGAGAGCCUGAACCAGCCAAGUAGCGUGAAGGAUGACUGCCCUAUGGGUUGUAAACUUCUUUUAUAAAGGAAUAAAGUCGGGUAUGCAUACCCGUUUGCAUGUACUUUAUGAAUAAGGAUCGGCUAACUCCGUGCCAGCAGCCGCGGUAAUACGGAGGAUCCGAGCGUUAUCCGGAUUUAUUGGGUUUAAAGGGAGCGUAGAUGGAUGUUUAAGUCAGUUGUGAAAGUUUGCGGCUCAACCGUAAAAUUGCAGUUGACACUGGAUAUCUUGAGUGCAGUUGAGGCAGGCGGAAUUCGUGGUGUAGCGGUGAAAUGCUUAGAUAUCACGAAGAACUCCGAUUGCGAAGGCAGCCUGCUAAGCUGCAACUGACAUUGAGGCUCGAAAGUGUGGGUAUCAAACAGGAUUAGAUACCCUGGUAGUCCACACGGUAAACGAUGAAUACUCGCUGUUUGCGAUAUACGGCAAGCGGCCAAGCGAAAGCGUUAAGUAUUCCACCUGGGGAGUACGCCGGCAACGGUGAAACUCAAAGGAAUUGACGGGGGCCCGCACAAGCGGAGGAACAUGUGGUUUAAUUCGAUGAUACGCGAGGAACCUUACCCGGGCUUAAAUUGCAGAUGAAUUACGGUGAAAGCCGUAAGCCGCAAGGCAUCUGUGAAGGUGCUGCAUGGUUGUCGUCAGCUCGUGCCGUGAGGUGUCGGCUUAAGUGCCAUAACGAGCGCAACCCUUGUUGUCAGUUACUAACAGGUCAUGCUGAGGACUCUGACAAGACUGCCAUCGUAAGAUGUGAGGAAGGUGGGGAUGACGUCAAAUCAGCACGGCCCUUACGUCCGGGGCUACACACGUGUUACAAUGGGGGGUACAGAGGGCCGCUACCACGCGAGUGGAUGCCAAUCCCAAAAACCUCUCUCAGUUCGGACUGGAGUCUGCAACCCGACUCCACGAAGCUGGAUUCGCUAGUAAUCGCGCAUCAGCCACGGCGCGGUGAAUACGUUCCCG